UUGCUCGCGCGGCUGGGGGCCGGAGGGGUCUUGAGGCUGUGAUCCAGCAUGGGGCCGCGUUGUGGAGCGAGAGAGGGGGCGUCACGGAGGCAAGGGGCGCCUGGCGGAGCGCGUCUGCCAGAGGCCCAGAGGGCCCAGAGGCCGAGCUGGGCCCUGCAGGUCGGAGGUGCAGGACCCAAUUCUGGCCCAAGCAGGGGCGUCCCACGGCUCAAACUGCCCGUCCAGGUGGUGUCUGAGGAGGGCCUGGACCGUGGCCUGUGCAGAGGGCCGGCCAGCAGCUUCUGCUUUGAGGGCUUGGAGGAGAACAGAUUCCAGAAUCUGGCCCAUGAUCAAUGCAUUUGGGUAUCUGAACUAAAUCCAGAUUCCCUGACUUCCCCUGAGGCCUGCUGAAUCCCUUGGGGUGGGGCCUGGGAAUCCGCGUUUUCCAGCGGGCUUCUCAGGUAGUUGGGUGGUCCCUGAGAGGGUUCCCAUGACCCCAUGAAACAAGACCCUAGAAAACGCAAGGCAAAGCGGCCUGGUGAGUGGCCGGUGGUCCACAGGAACUGGAUGUGAUCAGAGCGAGACCUCCAUCAACCAGGCAGGCGAGGCGCGGAGCCAUUCUGAGGAAGAUACCCAGCCGGAACCCAGGGAGGAGUGGGCUGUGAAAACUGGGCAGAAACGUGCGGCGACUCCAAAGACACUGCCAGGAAACCCUCCCCGGGUGGGAAGGCCCCUGAUGGGGCCUGUAGCAGCCGCAGGGGUCGGUUCUCACCCUCUGGUCCCAGCCAGGUUCUCCUGGACUCAGCUAAUGGGCAAGGCCUUAUCCCUUUUAGGAUCUGAGGAUGGGAGGGGCUGCGUUUUCCCAGCGGAUCUGCACAUGUGCAGGCUGAGUGUUGAGAUCCCUUGAUUGGUGUCAACUGGCACUGCCUGCCGGUGAUGCACAGAAGCUGCUGUAAGAAACAGGGUCCACGUCUCCAGGGAGAAGGCCCCCGUUCUGAGGCCACAACCCCGAGGGCAGUCUCCGCCUGCAGAAUCCUCCCUCUCGCACCUCAUUCACCUCGUGGUGAAUCCCUUGGCUAUGGUUUGGUGUGAGACAAGAGACGGGUGUUUCACUCCCUGCUGCAUCCCUGGUGACGGCCCUGGCAUUUCGGGGCUUGAGAUCUUUGCUUAAAGGUUUUGCUGUGGUCACCGCACAGGGGGUGGGGGUGGGGCCCCUUGGUGCAAUUUAUCGGAUUCUGGUGCGUGGAUGACAUCCACAGGGUUCCUCUUCAGUGGGGAUUAUCUGAGACCUCUCCACAUGCCCGCAUCCACAGUCCGCUACCUCACGGCAGCAUGAACUCAGGAGGUGGGCGUUCCCACAGUCAUUACAUUUGCAGGGCCUCUCCAUGUCCAUUUUGAUGCCUGAGGACCAGUGCUUCCACGAAGGUGUGGCCACGUCCGUUGCCGCUCAUUGGCUUCUCUCCUGUGAGAAUGUUCUGAUCCCCAGCGGAGCCUGAGCAUGUGCAAAGCCCUUUCCACGUUCACAAGGUGCUUCUCCAGGGUUCCAUUACAUCUCACCUAUGCACACUACGUGCAUACGGUUUCCACCAGCUGUGCGUGUCCCCGGAAGUCAUAUUCACGGCGUUUCUCUCUUGGAGGAAUUCUCCCGUGCAUGGCUGCUCUGAGCUCUGGGACAGUUUGCACCUGCGGCCACGCGUGGGCUCCUGGAGACUUACAAACCAGGUUGGACUCCUGAAGCCCUGGCUGCACUUGACCACUGCCAGGUUUUUCUACAAAAUCUCAUCUCAGCCAUCUGAGCCCUUUAGCAUUUAUCUUAUGAAUCCGCUCGAACGUACAAGGCCUCUCUGCCCUCCUGCUCCAGGCAGGAGGUUUUGACCCUCAGCUCCACCUCUGUGGCUGGCCUGGUCUCCGCAAACCUUUUUCUGCUUGGCCAGCUGGAGCCACGCUAGGCUUUCCCACUAGGGGCGCCAGAGAAAGCGCUCGAGGCUGGGGAGGAGGGAGGGGCACACUCCUUCCGGUUUGCUUCCGGUUUUUCCUCAGACUUCCGGUCUGUUUGCUUCCCUGGUUGCUUGUCUUGCGAACUCUGUUGCUUCGCCCUGGCGGGAGCACUUCCCUCCGCGGCUGCUAAAACCGGGGAGCGGGUUCCCAACUUCGCAGAAGCAGCUUCAUCACCCCCCCGCUGGAGGACCUCAGACCGCAGCCAGCGACGCCCCUCCUCGGGGGUCUGGCCCCACUCUCGGGGCCAGAUCAGGGACCAGAGACCUGCGAAGCCCUCCCCUUAGGGGUUUAGUUCCCAGGCUUUCUGAUCCCAAUAAUUCCACGCUCUUCUCUUUGUGUCCACAACCCUAGUGUAGCAGCUGCUCUCUGCAGUUUUUGCUUCUGAGAUACUUAAGACAUCUCUUUUCAGCUCCUUUGGUAGCCACUUCGUACAUAGUAAUUCAUGAUGCGAAAUCCUCUCUGUUGAAAUGACUGGCGAGGCCUCUGUCUUCUGACUGAACCCUGACUUCCAUGCUCUUUCCACCCUCACCCGAGUACGUGCCCAGUCCCCAAUCUGUGGUGCUCCAGGCAUUGCCUCUGUGGCGCUGUGUCCCCUCCUUUGAACUCUGAUCCUUCUGCUCAGGCCCUUUCUCCCAGUCUGAAAUAAGGAGCGAAUAAAUCUCACCAUGAGUCAGACCCUGUGCUGGGUGCUGGGAUGAAGCAGUGACUGACACAGGUCUGGACCUGUCCUUGUGAAGAGUGCGUCUGUGAGACACACUGUGCCAUGUGGCAAAGCAAGCACGUGGGACAGCAGAGCCUUGUUUGCGAUUAAAGUAAUAUCACAAGUCUGUUAAGCUUGGAAAAUCAAGUGAACAUGCUGAAAAGUUACGGGGAAGGUAGUCUCUUAGCUGGGGGCACUGGGAGCCUUGUCAGUUGGUUCCCCCAGUCUGGAGAGCAAUCUGAGAGCAAGUAGUGGCACUGUGUGUGCUGAGUGUGUCUGUGGGGGUGUUUUUGGAUAAAAUUAACAUUUGAAUUUGUGAACUGAGUGACGCAGAGUGCCCUUCAUAAUGUGGGUGGGCCUCAUUCAAUGAGUUCAAGGCCCGCAUGGGAAUCUCCUCCUGCCUGACUGAACCGGGACCUAGGUCUUUUCCUGCCUUCAGGCUUGAAUGGAAACAUCAGCUCUUUGUGCGUCUCAAGCCUGCUGGCUUUCAGACGGGGACUCACACCAUCAGCUCCUCUGCUUGACAGCUGCAGGUCUUGGGACUGCCCAGCCCCCAUAACCCUGUGAGUGCAUUCCUGAUAAUAACCCUCUUUCUCUUGCCCUCCCCCACCCCACACCAUUGGUCUGUUUCUCUGGAGAACCCUAACGCAUCAUUUACUAAUCAGGAAACAGAUUCAGAGAUUAAUAACUCAUCCAGCCUCACAGUUAACUGUAGAAUUGGGCUUGAAAUUCCAAGGUCGACUUCCUUAGCCAAUACACCAUGCUACAUAUAUGUAUGUAAAAAUAAAAAGCCUUGUGAACUGAAAA